CAGGGGCGGAGGCAUGUUAAGGGUAGGGGGGUCAGCUGACCCCGGUCAAUUUUAAUUAUCAACAACGUUUUCUAAUAAUAUUUAGUAUUGACGCCAGUCAAAAAUUUCUCCUGACCCCUAUGUAUUUGAAACCUACUUUAAUCUUACUGAAAGUUUAUGCAUUUCAUCACUAUAUCCAUGUAAGUGGUAUAGAUAACGUAAAUAAGUUUGCAAAAGUAAUAAAAAAGUGUAUUUGUG
rnacentral:lncRNA from 1 species